ensembl:snoRNA
CUGGCCCUGAAUCAAGGCCAGCAGCUUCCUGGCGCUGGUUUCAAGCAGGAGACUAAAGAGAUGUCUUUCUAUGGUCUGCUGGCCAUUUCAGAACUUAGGCAGUGAAAUGGCCAACUCAUUAGAAAGAAAUAGCU